GCGACCGUGGCGGAAUUGGCAGACGCGCCGGAUUUAGGUUCCGGUAUUUCUUCGAUGUGGGAGUUCGAGUCUCUUCGGUCGCACCA
rnacentral:tRNA from 1 species